GGUGGGUUGGCUUAGUGGUUAGAGCUUAGGUCUCGUAACCGAAAGGGUGCGGGAUCGAAUCCCACUAGAAGCU
rnacentral:tRNA from 1 species